rnacentral:lncRNA from 1 species
AAUGUAAAAAAUUGAACUCGGAGCACAAUUUGAUAGGAAGAGACUUUGGGAGAGCAAGCUAGGCUAGAGAACGAGAAGGGCAAGAUGGCGACUAAUUCGUUUGUCAACUCGAGGCACUAAGGUUAGUCUCAAUAGAAAGUUUUAUAGGAGUUUCAUGAGCAUUAAAUUGUAUGUCACAUCAGCAAUUUUGCUGAUAUGGCAAGUCCAUUAUGAGGAGAGAGAAUGGAGAGUUUCAUCGUACCUGAGAGAAGUUUCAUCCCCAUGACACUCAUCAUGCACAAUUACCAAGACAAGUUCACAAUCUUGGUAAGUGUACAAUAAAACUGUGCAUUGAGACUGGCCUAACAAACUACCCC